rnacentral:rRNA from 1 species
UGCAAGUCGAACGGUAACGCGGGGCAACCUGGCGACGAGUGGCGAACGGGUGAGUAAUGCAUCGGAACGUGCCCAGAAGUGGGGGAUAGCCCGGCGAAAGCCGGAUUAAUACCGCAUGAGACCUGAGGGUGAAAGCGGGGGAUCGCAAGACCUCGCGCUUUUGGAGCGGCCGAUGUCAGAUUAGCUAGUUGGUGGGGUAAAGGCCUACCAAGGCGACGAUCUGUAGCUGGUCUGAGAGGACGACCAGCCACACUGGGACUGAGACACGGCCCAGACUCCUACGGGAGGCAGCAGUGGGGAAUUUUGGACAAUGGGCGCAAGCCUGAUCCAGCCAUGCCGCGUGCGGGAAGAAGGCCUUCGGGUUGUAAACCGCUUUUGUCAGGGAAGAAACGCUCUGGGCUAAUACCCUGGGGUAAUGACGGUACCUGAAGAAUAAGCACCGGCUAACUACGUGCCAGCAGCCGCGGUAAUACGUAGGGUGCAAGCGUUAAUCGGAAUUACUGGGCGUAAAGCGUGCGCAGGCGGUUAUGCAAGACAGAUGUGAAAUCCCCGGGCUCAACCUGGGAACUGCAUUUGUGACUGCAUGGCUAGAGUGCGGCAGAGGGGGAUGGAAUUCCGCGUGUAGCAGUG